UACGGGGGGGGCAAGCGUUGUUCGGAAUUACUGGGCGUAAAGGGCUCGUAGGUGGCCAACUAAGUCAGACGUGAAAUCCCUCGGCUUAACCGGGGAACUGCGUCUGAUACUGGAUGGCUUGAGUUUGGGAGAGGGAUGCGGAAUUCCAGGUGUAGCGGUGAAAUGCGUAGAUAUCAGGAGGAACACCGGUGGCGAAGGCGGUUCUCUGGGAAUAUCCUGACGCUGAGGCACGAAAGCGUGGGGAUCAAACAGG
rnacentral:rRNA from 1 species